rnacentral:rRNA from 1 species
AACGAACGCUGGCGGCAGGCUUAACACAUGCAAGUCGAGCGCGUAGCAAUACGAGCGGCAGACGGGUGAGUAACGCGUGGGAAUCUACCCAACCCUACGGAAUAACGCAUGGAAACGUGUGCUAAUACCGUAUACGCCCUUCGGGGAAGGAUUAUCGGGGAGUGGAGUGAGCCCGCGUUGGAUUAGCUAGUUGGUGGGUAAAGGCCUACCAAGGCGACGAUCAUAGCUGGUCUGAGAGGAUGAUCAGCCACAUUGGGACUGA